UACAGGUGCAGCAUACCCCCUUUGGCCAUUUUUAGCAGAAUUCCAGAAAGAUGUGUAAUGUCUUUUAUAUUCUGUGGUUUGGACUGAUACAAGUGGUUGUAAGCAGGCUGGAUGCUCUGCGUAUGACUCUGAACAAGCUCGGGAGGCUGAGAGAUUACAUGCAGAACACUCUCCUGCAAUUCACUUAAAAAUGAGUAAAAUGGAUAUGCCAUUAUGUACUGCCUGUCUUCUGAGGUAUACCCUGCGCCCACAGAGAGCCGACACAGGGGACACAUCACCCCUGUACAACACAAGCAGUGACACCUGCAGA